GCAAACACGCUACUUUCAGUCAAUAAAACGGUGACGUUUUACUCGAUGCUUACCCUUUUUGGCGCGUUUUCUCCUUAGCCCUCACCUUGCCCUCGCAGCGUGUUCUUUACAUGGGCACUAAUCUGGGUCGACAAGCUGUUCGAUAUAAUGCCUCAACCAUUUGAACGAACAACAUAUCAGUAGAGGACUUUGUUCGGGCUUGGAUAUGGAAGCGGCGCACUACUAUCUUGAUGGCAAUGCAGAUGCGGUAGAGUUUUGUCCACAUGACUUGUACCGCCACGUUUUAGCGGCCGCAACUUACACGCUGCAAGAGGGUGAUCGGCCGAGCCGAUCUGGAAGCAUUUCGCUCUUCGAUGUUGAUGCUGAUGUAGGCCGCUUCGAUUUGUUUCAUCGCGUGGAAACGGCUGGGAUCUUUGAUAUUAAGUGGAAUCCCGUUGGAGGCACGAUAGAUAGGCCAAUGCUUGCACAAGCUGAUGCCGAUGGGUGCUUGAGAAUUCAUGAGUUAGAGUGCCUUUCAGAUGGAGAAAAAGGGGGCUGUCUAAGAGAGAUUAAUGGUGAAAAAAUCAGCUCUUCUAUGUGCCUUUGCUUGGAUUGGAAUCCAUCAGCCACAUCCAUUUCGGUUGGAAUUUCAGAUGGUUCUGUCUCAAUGGUCUCCUUCUCAGAGUCACAACUGUAUGUAAGUCAAGAAUGGAAAGCUCAUGAUUUUGAGCUAUGGGCUGCUUCCUUUGAUAUGCACCAACCACAAUUGGUAUACACUGGCUCGGAUGACUGCAAAUUCAGUUGUUGGGAUUUGCGGGAUAGCCCUCCGAAUAUGGUAUUUCAGAAUUCAAAGGUUCAUAAGAUGGGUGUUUGUUGCAUUGCAAAGUGUCCUAGUAACCCUAAUACCUUAUUUACUGGUAGUUAUGAUGAGUAUCUAAGGCUUUGGGAUGUAAGAUCAAUCUCAAAACCAGUAAACGAGACAUCAAUUCAUUUAGGGGGAGGAGUUUGGAGAGUCAAGCACCAUCCAUAUAUUCCAGGUCUGGUCUUGGCAGCUUGUAUGCACAAUGGGUUUGCAAUUGUAAAGAUUGAAGAUGACAAAGGUGAACUGAUUGAAACUUAUGGAAAACAUGGCUCCCUUGCUUAUGGGGCUGAUUGGCAAAGAAGAGAAUUGUCUCAAGGGGACGAGCAGAAAAGCAGUGUGGUGGCUACUUGUUCCUUUUACGAUCGGCUUCUGCGGGUAUGGAUUCCAGAAAAUAGUAAUGGUAUGGGACUGAUUGGUUCAGUGCAACUAAACAUGCUGCCUUAGUAUAUUUCAAUUUCAAACCAUGUGUUGCCGCUGGUUUUGGGGAUGUUUUGUUGUACUUUGUUAUGUAUGCAUCAUCAAUGCUGUC
rnacentral:misc_RNA from 1 species